AUUUGGGCUGUGGUUAUUCUGUAAUAAUAAGAAUGUUAAAGCUUGAAAAUGACCACUAGUGUCUCUUUGCCGUUAGGAAGCAGGUGAGGAGCUGGAUGCUGGAGAGGGAGCUGUUCUGUGGUGUCAGUUUCCUCCCCUAGAAUCCAUAAUGCUGAAAAGUGGGACCAUCUGGGACAUCAGUGACUGCAGCCGCCUCCAGUUCUAGACACAUGGCUCCAUCUGAUUCAGUCAAGUUGGAAACAGAAAAUCACCUUGAAGUACAUGUUCCUUGUUCUGCAAAGGAUGCUUGAGUAGGUUCCCUUGGUUAUGUAAAUGUCAGACGAGUAGGCCUCCCACCCCAGGAGAAGGGAGUAACAAGACAUCUUGUGCUUUCAAUAGUUUAGAAAAGGUUGCCUCACAUCUGGUGGGAGGUUGGUACGGAACAGCAGUGGGAAAUAGUGUGGUCAAGUCAGAUGAAAAUUAAUUAAAUGCCC
ensembl:lncRNA